rnacentral:lncRNA from 1 species
GCGAAUACAAGUGAGUACUGAUCGGCAUUGGAUUCCGGGUACAAGAAAUUGAAGCUUUUUGUGUUGGGGUCUGGGAGACGAUCGAAGGUGAAGACCUUGUCGAUGGAUUCGGAUUUCAGAGUGCAGGUGAUCUCGCCGUCUUCAAUUUGCUGUAGUACGUGGAUCCAGGCGUCCUGGGUACAGAGGAAGAAUCCGACUUUGGAUAGGUCUAGGGUGGAGAGAUCGGAAUUGGGGCCUGCGAGGGUGAGUUGGGUAACGUUGAGCUCAAGCUGGCCUCGGUGGGUGAAGCCGAACUCGUCGAAGGGGAUAAUCGGCCGACCAUCGGAUCGGAUCUCGGAGUAACGGAUCUCACCGACUGCAGUUGAAGUGAUACAGAGAAGAAUCGAGAAGAGGAGAGGAAAAGAGGAUGACAUUAUUCGACUAGGGUUUAUCAAUUCACCGUCGAACCAAUUUGAUUCAGGGGAAAAUACUGAGAAUUGAGAGGCUAUCAGUUUAUUAUUAUUAUGCUUCUUGUUAUAGGAAGCUGCCAGGAAACUGCGACUUUUCCAACACAUCUACCUUCAUUUUUCAAAGGAUAAAUCUAAGGGUAAUCCUCCUUGCACAGGGCCCUGUGCACAGGGUGUGCACAGGGCCNNNNNNNNNNNNNNAAAAUAAUGAGGCUCAAACAGGGCCUAAUUAUUUACAAAAAAGUAGAAUUUUGAAUAGUGAUAUGUGGAUAAAAAUAGGAAUUUUUUUUUGAAUUUAUGUGUAAAAUAUUUUAUUGUAUAAAUGUAUGGUUGAAAAUAAACAUAUUAAAAAAAGAGUUUAAAAAUAAUAGUUGUCAAACAUGGGUUAGGUUAGAGCUCAACCCCAACUUUCCGGUGCACAUACUCAAUUUAUUUAAAUAUGUUAAUUUAAAUUUUUAUAUGCAGAAUCGUCAGUUUAGACAUUACACAUGACUUUCAAUUGAAUGAGAGAUAGAUAAAGUGGUUAGAAGAUUUUUUAUUUUUUUGGCUGUGAAUCAUGUGAAAUAUUUUCUAUGUAUAAUGGUUUUUGUCACGUUGGUAUCUAAAUUCACAUAUUUAAAGAAGUUGAAAAAUCUAAAUCUCAUUUUUGAUGGUUGAUAUCCAACUUGGGGAGUCUAGCCCUAAUUUACUUUAAUUUUUUAUUUUGUGAAAUUAGGGCAAGGCUCAUAAUCUUUUUAUUAGCGUGAUUUUAGAUCUUCACGUUUCAAAGGUGAGCUUUCGAAUUCCAAUGCUAAGUUUGAACCACAUUUUUUAGAAAAAAAUAUGUAAUGUUGACUUUUCGAAGUCUAGUUAAAAAAUAGAAAAGCUUCAAAUUCAUAUGCAAUUUUUAUUUUAAGGGAGAGAGUGUGCGGUUAAAAAUAAAUUUGAAAAAAAAAAAGUUGAUAAAAAUGUUAACACUUUAAGUGACGUGUGACAUCUAUUUGUAUAUCGAAGGUUUCAUGUUAACUUCUUAUUUGGUGAGGAUUAAAAUCAAAUUUUUAAUAAAUUUUAAUAAAGUUGAUGAAAUGUAUAGUUGAAAAGUUAUGAAAUCCAUAAAAUAUGUGAUUAAAAAUAAUUGUUAAUUUUAGUUUAAAUUAAAAUUUUAAUUUUAAAUCAUACCAAACAAGGGUAAAUAUUUUUAAAAAAACUUAGGACUCGAAUCAUGCCACUUGGUUGGUGAGCAAAAAGGUAAUUUUCCUUUUAAUUUUUAAUUUUAUUUUUCUUAUCAACGGGAUAAUGAAUAUGACUUUUUAUCUUAUAUAUAUAUUUCGUCACCAAACAUGUCUGACAAAUUUUUAUUCAUAAUAUAAACUGAGUCAAUUUACGAGAACCUUCCCAUUCGCGCGUUGGCUUUCGAAUUUUCGUCAUUCUUCCACUUGGAUUUGUUUUGCAAUUACAAGGAAGAAAGUAGAUAAUAUCUAGCAAGUUGCUGAGAAUUGACCCAGUAACAAACGGUUCAGAUUUAAAGGGAAAAUUGCAGCAGAGUUCUGAACUUUUAAAAAAAGAGUAAAUGGAUCAUGGGAAUUUUUUUUUUUUAAUUUUUUUAUCACAGUCAUUUCAAGCGCAAGGACUUUUGUUUGGAAUUUGUCUAAGAAUCUAUUAAUUAAAUGUCUAAAUUGAACUUGUCCACCUCUUAGGAGGACGAAAUUGUAUAUCCAUCGUCACUUUGAGGAGAGAGAAAAAAUCAAAAGAAAAAGGAAAAAAGAAAAUCAAGAAGUAAAUAAAAAUGUCAUUUACCUCGCACCCUAGCCCGAAAAAUUGUGCCACGACAUCCUUGUCUAUCGUCGUUACUUCCACCACUCAACGCACCCCCAUCUCGUUUCGUCACCAUCACAUCUGGGGUCAUUUCUCUCCCUUGUGACCCUAAUGCCUAUAAACGGGGCAAAUGCAUCGCCUUGCCUUAAACGGGUAACUGUGAGAAAAUGCCUAGCGGGAUCGGGGGAAGGGGAAUCGUCCAGCCCUGUUGCCAUCCCUACUUGCGACCCUAAUGCGAGUAGGAAACGGAUCUCACUUUAAAGUGGAAAAUGUAGAUAGUUGCCCUAAAAGUAGGCAAGUUCAAUCUACGUACUUAAUUAAUGUAUUUUUUAGACAGAUUCCACACAAAAGUCUUUGUUUUUGCAUAUUUUUCGACAAGUUUAGAUGAUCAUGCCAAUAUUAAAGGUUUGGGACUUAUUUGAAUUUUUCAAAAAGGUUUGAAACACAGCUGCAAUUUUCCCUAAUAAAAAUUGACUUUAUGUGACCAAUUGCAAAACUAUUUUAUAAUCAAGGUGCCAAUAGUUAAAGGUUUAACUUUUAUUUGCAUAUUUCGAAAAGGUUUGAAACACUGUUGCAAUUUUCCAUAAUAAAAAUUGACUUUUAGUGAAUAAUUAGUAGGGAUUACAAUUUGAAUUGUUAAAAUUGAAAAUCACAAUUAAUCGAACCGAAUGGGGUGGAAAAAAACCUAACCGAUGACGCAAUAAAGGUGAAUAUGGUAUUUGAUAUUAAUGCCUCGAUUCGGGACGGGAUGUGUAUGGUAUUUACGUCAUCACCCCGCCCUGAAUCGAUUACCCUUAAAAAAAUUAAUUGGGCAAUUGGACUUUCAAAUAUUCUUUUUAUGAUUCUAUCCAACCCCAAAAAUUAUGACCCAUUACAUACCUGCUAGGUCCAAUUAACCUAACUCAGUAACUCUACACCCUACUACACAAAAUAUUAAACAUUUAUGAAAAUUGUUCGUUAAAUUUGAAAUUUUGCAUUUGGAAAUUGGGAUAUUCUUUGCAUUUUUAUUUGUGAUAUUGUUUGCUAAAUUGACAUAAUAUUGUGUUUUUGUUUUCAUUAACUUUUUUUUUUUUAUAAAUCAUUUUCUUUUUUAAUUUGAUGGCUGGACUUAUAAAAAAUAAUUUAUUUUCGUAGUUAUUAACCGUCUGAACCGAAAUACGAACCGAGCUAAACCAAACCUACGUGAUUAUGAUGUGAUUAUGGUAUGACCAAAAAGUUGGUGGUUCGAUAAUGUUUUUGGUCGAAACGAAUCGUUGCCAACCCUACCAAUUACAAAACUACUUUACAAUCAACAUGCACAUUUUUACCCUCCAAUUUGUUUUACUAUUACUACGCGAGCAUAUGAAAUUUCAGAUAAUUUCUUGAAUAGUUGCUCCUUCCGACAAAAGUUAUUUAAUACAAGUGAUGCUUAACAUCACUUGUGCUGCAUAGUACCAUACCAUUAUUCUUCACACAAUAAUCAAGUUUUUGCUUGUUCAGUGUAAUACAACGAUGACUUGGAUUGCGACUUAUCUUCUAUCUAUAAAUUUAUACACUUUACCUACUCACAAUAUUGAGCCAAGAACAUCUACAUCACAUGAUAAAAUCAUAUAUAAUUUCACAAAGUUGAGGAUCAAGGAAUCCAAAUGAGCAUGGAUGGUUCCAGGGGAGCAUGAACAACUGCUAGAUGGCAACUAAUAUAAGGGGAAAAUUUGCGACAACGCUAGCACGAGCGGCAACAAAGGCUCGCGCGGUGCUGGCUCCACCCCCUCAAUUCCCACAUCAAGCAUAAUUAGUUGUCCUUUUGUAACAAUUUGCUUUUACAAUUAGGGUGUGUUUGAUUGAAAGUAUGAAAUUCGUAUCGAAAAAAAUAAAUUCUACGCAAUUCAAUUGUCUAGAACUUAUUUAUAUGGAAAUUAUUAAUUAAAUGUGUUUGAUUGAUUUAUUUUUCAAUCUAAAAAAUAUUUUAUUUGUUUAUUUUUUAUUGGUGGGCAAAUGAGAGAGAGCUGAUAGAUGAGAAACAGAAAAAGAGUAAAUUCUAUUGAAAACAAAAUCUUAUUCCCCCUAAAGAAAAAUUUUCCUUGAUUUUGAGGAAAAUAUGAUCACCUGAUCAAAAUUAGAAAAAUAUUUUUCUUGAAAAAAUAAUGUUAAUCAAACAGCACAAAGUAGGAAUUUUGGUAGAAAAAAUAUUUUUUCAUUGAAAAUAUUAGUAAUAGGGUACGUUUGAUUGCAAGCAUGAAAUUUACAUGCAAAGAAAUACAUUCUAGACAAUUGAAUUGUCCAUAACUUAUUUUUAUGGAAAUUAUUGAUUAAAUCUGUUUGAUUGAUUUAGUUUUCAACCUAGAAAAUAUUAAAAUAUUAUACUUGUCAAUUUUUUAUUGGUGGAUAGAUGAAAGAGAAUGAAUAAAUGAGAGAGAGAGAGAGUGAUUGACCUAGAAAAUAAACAUUACACCUCUCUAAAAAAUAUAUGUUCCUUAUUUUUGAGGAAAAUGUUGUUACAUGACCAAAACUUGGAAAAUAUUUCAUAAAAAAAUUGUCAAUCAAACACCCCCUUACAACUUUUAAUACCUGAAUAAUGAUCAUUUAGAUAUCAAAUUUCAAAUGAUUAUCCUACAGGAAUGGUUCACACAGAGAUUACUUGCAUGUUUUCUAGUAUAAACUAAUUCUAUAUCGAUGUAAUAAUCUAGAGGAAAGCAGAAACUUAUUUAAAUUUGGCGGUGUCUUAAGAGACUUGAACGUGCAAAGGGUUUGACCGUACAGCUCUGAUCCCCUUUAACCUCACCUAGCAGGUUUGGAUAGAGAAAUCAAGCUUGUAGCUUAGGGCAGACACUGGAGCCAGACCCGACCCUGACCCAAGGCCAACUAGGCAAUGGUCUUGGGCCUCAACAUUCUAGGGGCCUCCUAGGGAAAAAAAGGGGAAAUUUUCUAGUGUACCCUACAAAAAGAAAGAAAUUCUAAAAUUACGAAGAUUUUAUUCCCAAAAUACUUGAAUUUUGGGUUAAAUUUUCAUAAUAAUUGGAAUCUAUCUAUAGCGUUAAUUAAGGAAACUAACACUGACUCCGCAUAAAUGGAAAAUCUUUCAAAACAAUUCCAUAAUAAUUGGUCAAAUUGAAUAUGACAAUAAAUUUGUGUAAUUAAGGCUAAAACUGGGGAGAUCGGAUUUCCAUAACAAUUGGAACCCAUAUAUGUAAUUUUUGUACUUCUAAGCUUUAUUUCGUCAUCUAUUAUUUAUUUAUAAAUAUUUAAUUUAAGUAUUGAUUGGUAUAUAAUAUACAUUUAUAUAUCAUCAUGUAAUAUAUAUUUAUGGGAUUUUGAAUAGAUGCUCAAAAACUCUAUCGGAAGUACAAGAGAUCAAGACACUAUGUCGAACCACGAUUCAACAAGAUGAUAAUCCAAUUUUGAUAUUUUGCAAUUUAGUUUUUAAAUGUUAAAAAAUAGUGAAAAAAUGUGUAGUGUGACAUGAUUUCAUAUUCAAUUUUAUUCCAUAAGUUUCUUUGUAUGUUAUACACCAAUAUGUUACAGUUGCUUUCUCAAAUGGCAAAUUCAACAACUUAUAUCAUAUUCCUACCUAGUGAUGCAAAGAUUUAUUCUUAAUUAGUAAAAAAAUGCAAAAUAUUACAUCGUUUCGCAGCAUGUUUAAUUGCACAAGGUAUACUGUCCGUUAGGAGUAUGUUAGUGUUUUUUCUCGAAAAUGUAUAUAUAUAUGCCCCUGUUUGAUUCCCAUUACGUAGGAAAUUUAAUGGGGGGAAUAGUACUUUUUUGAAAAAUGAGUGGUUGAAAAAGAAUGAAAAGUUUUCGAUUUACGUGUAAUACUAUUUUAUAAAAGAUUGUGUGAUUAAAAAUAUGAGAUAGAAAAAUGAAAUGUAAUAGAAUUUAAUGUAACGGGGCUCAAAAAGGGGCUAUAUAUAUAAAGGUCUCAUCAUUAUUAGUCGUCUAGGGCCUAAAAUUUCUCAGAGUCGGCCCCGACUGGAGCGAACGUUCAUCGAGACCUUGAGUUGCGGAAGGCAAUUGGCGAAUACAAGUGAGUACUGAUCGGCAUUGGAUUCCGGGUACAAGAAAUUGAAACCUUUUGUGUUGGGAUUUGGAAGACGAUCGAAAGUGAAGACCUUGUGGAUUAAUUCGGAUUGCAGAGUGCAGGUGAUCUCGGCGUCUUCAAUUUGCUGGAUUACGUGGAUCCAGGCGUCCUGGGUACAGAGGAAGAAUCCGACUUUGGAUAGGUCUAGGGUGGAGGGAUCGGAAUUGGGGCCUGCGAGGGUGAGUUGGGUAACGUUGAGCUCAAGCUGGCCUCGGUGGGUGAAGCCGAACUCGUCGAAGGGGAUAAUCGGCCGACCAUCGGAUCGGAUCUCGGAGUAACGGAUCUCACAGACUGCAGCUGAAGUGAUACAGAGAAGAAUCAAGAAGAGGAGAGGAAAAGAGGAUGACAUUAUUCGACUAGGGUUUAUCAAUUCACCGUCGAACCAAUUUGAUUCAGGGGAAAAUACUGAGAAUAAAGAGGUUAUCAGUUUAUUAUUAUUAUGCUUCUUGUUAUAGGAAGCUGCCAGGAAAUUGCGACUUUUCCAACACAUCUUACCUUCAUUUUUAAAAGGAUAAAUCAAAACCGACAAAGCCUACGAUGCCAAGAAAAUGCGACUUUUCCAACACAUCUACCUUAAUUUUUCCAAGGAUAAAUCUAAACUGCGUAGGCCUUGUCCGUCCAUGUGCCG